rnacentral:rRNA from 1 species
CUACGGGACGCACCAGUGGGGAAUAUUGGACAAUGGGGGCAACCCUGAUCCAGCAAUGCCGCGUGUGUGAAGAAGGCCUGCGGGUUGUAAAGCACUUUCAAUAGGGAGGAAAAGCUUUGGGUUAAUACCCCGAAGUCUUGACGUUACCUUUAGAAGAAGCACCGGCUAACUCUGUGCCAGCAGCCGCGGUAAUACAGAGGGUGCGAGCGUUAAUCGGAAUUACUGGGCGUAAAGCGCGCGUAGGCGGUUUGAUAAGUCAGAUGUGAAAGCCCCGGGCUUAACCUGGGAACUGCAUUUGAUACUGUCAAACUAGAGUAUGGUAGAGGGUAGUAGAAUUCCUGGUGUAGCGGUGAAAUGCGUAGAUAUCAGGAGGAAUACCAGUGGCGAAGGCGGCUACCUGGACCAAUACUGACGCUGAGGUGCGAAAGCGUGGGGAGCAAACAGGAUUAGAUACCCGCGUAGUC